ensembl:lncRNA
GGGUAGAGUAGUUGUUAUGAUACUGUUGGAAGAGAAGUUGUUAUGAUACUGUAGGUAGAGUAGUUGUUAUGAUACUGUAGGUAGAGUAGUUGUUAUGAUACUGUUGGUAGAGAAGUUGUUAUGAUACUGUAGGUAGAGUAGUUGUUAUGAUACUGUUGGUAGAGCAGUUGUUAUGAUACUGUAGGUAGAGUAGUUGUUAUGAUACUGUAGGUAGAGCAGUUGUUAUGAUACUGUAGGUAGAGUAGUUGUUAUGAUACUGUAGGUAGAGUAUUUGUUAUGAUACUGUAGGUAGAGUAGUUGUUAUGAUACUGUUGGUAGAGAAGUUGUUUUGAUACUGUAGGUAGAGUAUUUGUUAUGAUAGUGUAGCGUAGAGUAGUAGUUAUGAUACUGUUGAGUAGAGUAAUUGUUAUGAUACUGUAGGGUAGAGUAAUUGGUGUGAUACUGUAGGGUAGAGUAAUUGGUGUGAUACUGUAGGGUGGAGUAAUUGUUGUGAUACUGUAGGGUAGAGUAAUUGUUAUGAUAUAGUAGUUGUUACUAUACUCUAGUUAGAGUAGUUGUUAUGAUA